AAUAGAAUGUAGUCAAAAAUAGAAUGUAGUCAAAAAGGAUUUGAUUUUACUUUCAAAGGAAAUGCCUUAUCAUACAUUUUACAAAAUAAGUUCAGAAAUAAAUCUUAAUCAUUAACUACAUAAUGAGAUUGUAAAACAAGAUUCCAAUUGACGGAAUCAUUUAAUAAUUUUUCGAACUGGCUUAUGGAACUUUCAUUGAUUUUUUUCAUGAAUACUGUUGAUUUGGGGGUAGUAUUAUUAUUUGGCGAUCCUUGGACAAUAUCCGCUAAGGGCAAAAUGUCCUUUUUGCCGUCCCCUCUCGGCGCCCCUGGGAAUUGGUUCUACCGUUCCGUUGAGUAACUUAACUUAUACAGAAUUGUUCUAAAUACUAAUAUUAUCGUAGUUAAAAUGUUUAAGCAAUUUACAUCCCAUGUACAACGUACCAAUUCACAGUGGGCCAAAGGUGAGCAAACCCCCUAAAACUAAAUUCUAUAUAAGAGUAAUUUUUUUUGUAAAUGUAAUCUAGAGAAAAAACUGAUAUGAUUUUUUCCCUAAUAUGAUUUUUGAGCUCAUUAUAUUAAUUUUACCACGAAAAUAUUUUACCUUUCAACUAUUAGUGAAAAUGAAAAAAUCAUAUAAAAAGAGGCAAGAAAAGUCAUAUAAAAAAGAGGCAAGAAAAAAGUUUUACAAAGAUUUAAUUUAUUAACGGUAUAUAUUAGUCCAUUGAGAUCUUGUAACAGUUUAAAGUCGUCAGCAUAGAUUAUAGGUAGUUAACACUCUAUAAUAAGUUGGACGUGCAUCCUUCUUUAAACAUAAAUUCAUGUUGAUUAUGUGAGAUGCAGCUCGUUUUUUCAAGACAUUUGGUUAUCUUUUCCUUAAUAAUCCUUUCCAUUACUUUACAUGGAACUGUCGUGAUAGAGAUUGAUCUGUAAUUAGCUGCAUCAAGGCAUUCUUUUUUAAACAACGGUGUAACUUGUGUUUGUUUCCAAGCUGUAGGUGUCGAGCCUUCAGACAGUACUUUAUUGUAAAGUAAAGAGAGGGUAAAUCAUUUAGCAGCGCAUUAUUAAAAUACCUUUGAACUAAUGUUAUCAGCACCAAUAGGUUUAUUCGAGUUCAAACCUUUCAAAUAAGCUAGCGUCGCUUCAAAACUAAUUACUAUAUUGUCCAAGUCUUCAUGAUAAGCCUCUUAAAAAAAGGUAACUAUUUUACUAGUAUCAACAAAAACUGAUUUGAAGCGUUCUUUAAGUCUGUUUAUAGUCUUAAGUCUGCGAUAUGUAUUCCCUCUGUUAACGUUUCACCUUUUGCAUCAGAUAUACCACCAAUAGAUACAUGAAGAUUCUGCUGCGCCUUAACAUAAGCGUACACCUUUUUAGAAUUAUUUUUAUCUGAUUCUAGUUGUGCUUCAAAUACUUCAAACACGACUUUUGCAUUCUUUAGACAAUUUGUUUCUUAGUUUCCUAUAUUCAAGAACCAGUGUCACUGAUCUCCAGUUUAUCGCAGAUAAGUAAUUGCCAAGUUUUUUUUCUUUAUUAUAACUUUCUUAUUCAUCCACGGUGCAUUACGAGUAGUAUGGAUCUUUUUUAAUGGGAUGAAUUGCUUGCUGAGUUUAUUAUAUUUGUUGCAGAAAAGUUCAUAGCACUUAUUAGUUUUUACUGGCGUCAAUUAUUUUAUUAUCAAAUAAUUGACGCCAGUUAGUUUUCAUUAUCUUUUUACUAAAAUUUAUUUAGUCACCUUUUUAAAAGUUAUAUUUUUUGUUUGAGAAAGUAGUCUCAUUUUAAGAACGGACGACAUAAUCCCAAUUCAAUAUGCGAUGACCUUACGACGAAUCACCAAACGAAUCAAAGAGUCAGAUAAGUUGACAGAAGAGUCUGUAAUAAAUAAAUCCGAAAUGUUUUUUGCUUUAUACAAUUAAAUGCUUUAAAUGUUGAAGAAUCAAAUAAUUGUUAUAGAUUAUAAUUAGCCAAAGUAUGAAGAAAAACACAUGCCGCACUAUUUUGACUGCACAGUAAUUCAAUCCUGUCGUCAUUGUACCAUUUGAUAUCCCUGAAAAUUGAAACUUACCAAAUCAAAUACCUCAUUUGCGACUGGAUCUCUCUUGAUGAAGAUAGCAGCACCUCUACCGUGACCGAUUCAAUAUUUUUACUAAGGAAUUAUUCUUUAAUUAAGUGGUAGAUAUUUCAGUAAACCAUGUCUCAGAAACAAAGAUGAAAUUAUGCUUAUUUAUGUCACGGAGUGCAUAAAAUUCAUUCAUUUUAUCCGGAUUAAGAGAAGUUGCGCGAGAUAUCAAUGCAUUGCAAUUUAUCGCUAAGGAUGACAAAUCUAAAAAGCUUGUCAAGUUUUACAAGCUUGUCAAGGUCAGAAUUAGCUGUUUUUCUUUCUGAGUUUAUUUUAUAAAAUAUACUUUGUUCUGCUGCUGAGCAGUUAGGGCGUUUAAAUAUAUAUUUAAAAGUGACCGAUGUCAAUUGUUUAGCCGAUGCUACAACGUCGUUUCUGAUAGAUACUAAAUCAACUUCAAUCACAAAAGGAGCAGGUUUAUCAAAAUUAAAGUUCUUACCUUUUUUAAAUGUUCAACUCUAACUAUAUUGACUGUUUUACUUAAGGAUGUCACAACCUUCUUGAAUUCCGUAGUGUCAUCUUUAUUUAUCUCGCUUUGUUGAUUUUUUACAGAUUCAGGUAGACCAAACACAAAAAUUCUCUUCUCUCUAUUAGUUACGUCCUUAUUAUGCUUAUUGAACGCGCUCACAACAGCUACGUUUGCUAAUGUAUAAAAAUCUAAUAUAGAUUAAAUUUACAAAGGUUUUUCACUUCUUUUUCUAUCUUUAAUGGACUUCAUUUCAAUAUCCUGCAGAUCAUAUAUUUAGACAUACAACAUGUCCCAUCUAAUUUAAAACCGUAUAGAUGUCCAGAGGACUACUUGCGGUACAGUUCUGUCCCCCGUCUUUGUUUUAAAAUGUUUAUCAUCUUACUGACGUCAUUUUAUUACAGUUUUAAACGGACAUCCAUAAGUUGUCCGUCCAACGUCGUUAUAAAAUAUACCGUUGUCACAGGAAGUUUUGCUGCCCAGCAACAUAAUUUUCUAGGAAAAAUUGCCGCUAGCAGGAAAUUUUACUGCUAAACUUAUUUUUUCGGUUUUUUCAUAAUUUGCCAACUAAUAAUGUUUUGACGAGUGGUGAUUAAGGCGCAUAAGAGGCAGAAGCUGAAAUUUUAGUCAGUUUUUUUUAUGGAUUUACCUUUCGUUUUUCAAUUAAAAAGCACUUUUUUUAGUUCCAAUUCAAAAUUGACAAAGAAAAAAACGAUAACCCAUCUUAAUGAAAUUUUUUUAAAAAUCAUUCAACUUUUUAAAGGAAUCGUAAUUAUUGUAUAAAAGUAAUCAAUAUCCUUUCUAACCCUUGUUUUAAACAAAGAUGUUUAACUCAUAAUUUUACUUUUAAUGCCGUUAGCUAUUUAUAUAAAAUCUUAAUGCCGUUAGCUAUUUAUAUUAGUUUAAACAGUGUCUAAAAUACUUAUAAUAAUUCUUAUUUCAAGCUCUUAAUCCAAUAAAAAAUAAAAAAUAAAAACGAAAAACAAUUUGAAGUCUCAUUUAAUACCACGAGACGAUAGUUAAAAAGAAAUUUUAAAAAUACAGAAAAUUUAUAAGGUAGCAUAAUUUGUACUUACACAGACUAGUUUUUAUCUUUAUAAAAAAGUUGCAAUAAAUUAACUUUUUAUUAACAAUUUAAAUUAAUACUUUACUAAUAAAUUUACAUUAUUUAAUGCGCUACUUUAUAUAUAUUACUAGUGACAUCAACUGACUAAAUAGAGAUUGGUGUAUUAGGGUGUUUAGACAAAUAGAGAUUGGUGUAUUAGGGUGUUCAGACAAAUAGAGAUUGGUGUAUUAGGGUGUUCAGACAAAUAGAGAUUGGUGUAUUAAGGUGUUCAGACAUUAACUGAGAAAUUUGAUUAAAUAAGUUACCCAAGUAACCUGUAUAAAUUUUCACUUUUAUACUAUAACAUAAAUAGAGUUACAAAUUUUUGAAGUUUAAGGGUGUCUAGUAAAGGGUUGUCAUGGUAAGUGUCUGUCAAUAGAUGGCAUGAUUUCUAACACUAAUCUGAAGAAAAUUAUCAGAAAAUUGCUCUUUCUUAUUUAAUAAAUUUUAACUCGUAUUUCAAACACCUUUAAUACCUGUUGCAAGCCAAAGCCACCGUAAUUUAGGGUACAUAAUUGACCAUCAUUCCUACUUGUGUUGGCAUUUCCUGAGAAAUUUUCAGUUUUUAUAAAAUAUUGUAAGUCUUGCAACCAUAGGCUUUUAAACUAUUAGAAGUUUUAAAGGAAUUUUAUCACAUCCAUGAAAGAUAUGGUAAAAAAGUAUAUUUUCUUUGAAUAUAAUAAAUUAUUUCUUUUUAAGAGGUAAUUUGUAAAAAUUUAAAAUAGUUUUGAAUUUCAUUUUUGAUAAGGAGUUUUUCAAAAAUGGAGGAAUUCAUUGAUUGAGUCAAAAUCUGGUCAGACAUAUAUAUUAAUAAGACAUUAUAAAUGGAAUCUUCAACACAACGUUUUUCGAAAUUUAAAAAUGUUCAAGCUGUUUUCUCAAAAAACUAAGUUGAUGAAAGAGAUGAGCUCAAGGUUUUUUAUGUUUUGUAUUUGUAAAAAGUUUUACAACAUAUGGUUACUCAAUCAUCUUGAUUAUCUUGUGAACAAUAAAAUCA